UACGUAGGGUGCGAGCGUUGUCCGGAAUUAUUGGGCGUAAAGAGCUCGUAGGCGGUUUGUCACGUCGGGUGUGAAAGCCCGGGGCUUAACCCCGGGUCUGCAUUCGAUACGGGCUAGCUAGAGUGUGGUAGGGGAGAUCGGAAUUCCUGGUGUAGCGGUGAAAUGCGCAGAUAUCAGGAGGAACACCGGUGGCGAAGGCGGAUCUCUGGGCCAUUACUGACGCUGAGGAGCGAAAGCGUGGGGAGCGAACAGG
rnacentral:rRNA from 1 species